AUACGUAGGUGGCAAGCGUUGUCCGGAAUGAUUGGGCGUAAAGGGCGUGUAGGCGGUUGUCUAAGUCUGGAGUGAAAGUCCUGCUUUCAAGGUGGGAAUAGCUUUGGAUACUGGAUGACUUGAGUGCGGAAGAGGUAAGUGGAAUUCCCAGUGUAGCGGUGAAAUGCGUAGAGAUUGGGAGGAACACCAGUGGCGAAGGCGACUUACUGGGCCGUAACUGACGCUGAGGCGCGAAAGCGUGGGGAGCGAACAGGAUUAGAUACCCUGGUAGUCCACGCGGUAAACGAUGAAUGCUAGGUGUUGCGGGUAUCGACCCCUGCAGUGCCGGAGUAAACACAAUAAGCAUUCCGCCUGGGGAGUACGGCCGCAAGGUUGAAACUCAAAUGAAUUGACGGGG
rnacentral:rRNA from 1 species